UCGUAUCGCGCCGUAAAGCAGAAUAUCGCGACAUAAAGGUGCCACAUGGCGAUAUAUCGCGACAUAUCGCGACAUAAAGGUGCCGUAUCGCACCGUAUCGCGCUGUAAAGCAGUAUAUCGCGACAUAAAGGUGCCAUAUCGCACCGUAUCGUGAUAUAUUGCGACAUAAAGGUGCCACAUGGCGAUAUAUCGUGCCGUAUCGCACCGUAUCGCGCCGUAAGGCAGUAUAUCGCGACACGAGGUGCCCUAUGGCGACAUAUCGCGACAUAUCGCGACAUAAAGGUGCCACAUGGCGAUAUAUCGCGACGUAUCGCGACGCAUCGCGACAUAAAGGUGCCGUAUUGCACCGUAUCGCGCCGUAAAGCAGUAUAUCGCGACAUAAAGGUGCCAUAUCGCACCGUAUCGUGAUAUAUUGCGACAUAAAGGUGCCACAUGGCGAUAUAUCGUGACAUAUCGCGACGCAUCGCGACAUAAAGGUGCCGUAUCGCACCGUAUCGUGCCGUAAGGCAGUAUAUCGCGACACGAGGUGCCCUAUGGCGACAUAUCACGAUAUAUCGUGACAUAAAGGUGCCACAUGGCGAUAUAUCGGGACAUAUUGCGACAUAAAG
rnacentral:lncRNA from 1 species